rnacentral:rRNA from 1 species
AUGAGUGGCAGACGGGUGAGUAACACGUGGGAACGUGCCCUCCGGUCUGGGAUAACCCUGGGAAACUAGGGCUAAUACCGGAUACGUGCUUUGGCAGAAAGGUUUACUGCCGGAGGAUCGGCCCGCGUCUGAUUAGCUAGUUGGUGGGGUAACGGCCUACCAAGGCGACGAUCAGUAGCUGGUCUGAGAGGAUGAUCAGCCACACUGGGACUGAGACACGGCCCAGACUCCUACGGGAGGCAGCAGUGGGGAAUAUUGGACAAUGGGCGCAAGCCUGAUCCAGCCAUGCCGCGUGAGUGAUGACGGCCUUAGGGUUGUAAAGCUCUUUUCUCCGGGACGAUAAUGACGGUACCGGAGGAAUAAGCCCCGGCUAACUUCGUGCCAGCAGCCGCGGUAAUACGAAGGGGGCUAGCGUUGCUCGGAAUCACUGGGCGUAAAGGGCGCGUAGGCGG